rnacentral:rRNA from 1 species
GGGAGGCAGCAGUGAGGAAUAUUGGACAAUGGGGGCAACCCUGAUCCAGCAAUGCCGCGUGUGUGAAGAAGGCCUUCGGGUUGUAAAGCACUUUUAUCGGGAACGAAACAUUGUCGGUGAAUAUCCGGCAAGACUGACGGUACCCGAGGAAUAAGCACCGGCUAACUUCGUGCCAGCAGCCGCGGUAAUACGAAGGGUGCAAGCGUUACUCGGAAUUACUGGGCGUAAAGGGUGCGUAGGUGGUUUUUUAAGUCUGCUGUGAAAUCCCCGGGCUCAACCUGGGAAUGGCAGUGGAUACUGGAAAGCUAGAGUGCGGUAGAGGGUAGUGGAAUUCCCGGUGUAGCAGUGAAAUGCGUAGAGAUCGGGAGGAACACCAGUGGCGAAGGCGGCUACCUGGACCAGCACUGACACUGAGGCACGAAAGCGUGGGGAGCAAACAGGAUUAGAUACCCUGGU